ACGCUCGACACCUACGGAGGCAGCAGUGGGGAAUAUUGCACAAUGGGGGAAACCCUGAUGCAGCGACGCCGCGUGAGCGAAGAAGUAUUUCGGUAUGUAAAGCUCUAUCAGCAGGGAAGAAAAUGACGGUACCUGACUAAGAAGCCCCGGCUAACUACGUGGCAGCAGCCGCGGUAAUCUGAGCGGGCUGGCAAGGC
rnacentral:rRNA from 1 species